AACGAACGCUGGCGGCAGGCCUAACACAUGCAAGUCGAGCGAAGCCUUUGGGCUUAGCGGCGGACGGGUGAGUAACGCGUGGGAACGUGCCCUUUGCUACGGAAUAGCCCCGGGAAACUGGGAGUAAUACCGUAUGUGCCCUUCGGGGGAAAGAUUUAUCGGCAAAGGAUCGGCCCGCGUUGGAUUAGGUAGUUGGUGGGGUAAUGGCCUACCAAGCCGACGAUCCAUAGCUGGUUUGAGAGGAUGAUCAGCCACACUGGGACUGAGACACGGCCCAGACUCCUACGGGAGGCAGCAGUGGGGAAUCUUAGACAAUGGACGCAAGCCUGAUCUAGCCAUGCCGCGUGAUCGAUGAAGGCCUUAGGGUUGUAAAGAUCUUUCAGGUGGGAAGAUAAUGACUGUACCACCAGAAGAAGCCCCGGCUAACUCCGUGCCAGCCGCCGCAGUAACAC
rnacentral:rRNA from 1 species